UACGAAGGGGGCUAGCGUUGCUCGGAAUCACUGGGCGUAAAGGGUGCGUAGGCGGGUCUUUAAGUCAGGGGUGAAAUCCUGGAGCUCAACUCCAGAACUGCCUUUGAUACUGAAGAUCUUGAGUUCGGGAGAGGUGAGUGGAACUGCGAGUGUAGAGGUGAAAUUCGUAGAUAUUCGCAAGAACACCAGUGGCGAAGGCGACUUACUGGACUGUAACUGACGCUGAGGCAUGAAAGCGUGGGGAGCAAACAGG
rnacentral:rRNA from 1 species